rnacentral:rRNA from 1 species
CCUACGGGAGGCUGCAGUCGAGAAUCAUUCACAAUGGGGGAAACCCUGAUGGUGCGACGCCGCGUGGGGGAAUGAAGGUCUUCGGAUUGUAAACCCCUGUCAUGUGGGAGCAAAUUAAAAAGAUAGUACCACAAGAGGAAGAGACGGCUAACUCUGUGCCAGCAGCCGCGGUAAUACAGAGGUCUCAAGCGUUGUUCGGAAUCACUGGGCGUAAAGCGUGCGUAGGCUGUUUCGUAAGUCGUGUGUGAACGGUGCGGGCUCAACCCGCGGACGGCACAUGAUACUGCGAGACUAGAGUAAUGGAGGGGGAACCGGAAGUCUCGGUGUAGCAGUGAAAUGCGUAGAUAUCGAGAGGAACACUCGUGGCGAAGGCGGGUUCCUGGACAUUAACUGACGCUGAGGCACGAAGGCCAGGGGAGCGAAAGGGAUUAGAUACCCCGGUAGUC